ACGGCGAGUGAAGCGGCAAAAGCUCAAAUUUGAAAUCCCCCCGGGGAGUUGUAAUUUGAAGAUUGCGUCUUGGAGGCGACCGUGUCUAUGUUCCUUGGAACAGGACGUCACAGAGGGUGAGAAUCCCGUGCGGCACGGCCCCCGGCUCCUUAUAAGGCGCUCUCGACGAGUCGAGUUGUUUGGGAAUGCAGCUCAAAGUGGGUGGUAAAUUCCAUCUAAAGCUAAAUACAGGCGAGAGACCGAUAGCGAACAAGUACAGUGAUGGAAAGAUGAAAAGCACUUUGAAAAGAGAGUGAAACAGCACGUGAAAUUGUUGAAAGGGAAGGGCAUGCCGUCAGAUUGUCAGUGUGGGUAAGAAGCGGGGUACAAAGACUGUGGAACGUGGCCCUCGGGUGUUAUAGCCGCAGUUCAUGCCCCGUCUCUUUCCGAGGCCUGCUUUGAGGACACCGACGUAAUGACGGUACGCCGCCCGUCUUGAAACACGGACCA
rnacentral:rRNA from 1 species